ACAGCAGCAGCCGCGGUAAUACGAAGGGUGCAAGCGUUAAUCGGAAUUACUGGGCGUAAAGCGUGCGUAGGCGGUUUGUUAAGUCUGCUGUGAAAUCCCCGGGCUCAACCUGGGAAUGGCAGUGGAUACUGGCAAGCUAGAGUGUGUCAGAGGAUGGUGGAAUUCCCGGUGUAGCGGUGAAAUGCGUAGAGAUCGGGAGGAACAUCAGUGGCGAAGGCGGCCAUCUGGGACAACACUGACGCUGAGGCACGAAAGCGUGGGGAGCAAACAGGAUUAGAUACCCCUGUAGUCCCUGUCUCUUAUAC
rnacentral:rRNA from 1 species